UACGUAGGGGGCCAGCGUUGUUCGGAAUUACUGGGCGUAAAGGGCUCGUAGGCGGUGCGGCAAGUUGGGAGUGAAAUCUCUGGGCUUAACCCAGAGGCUGCUUCCAAAACUGCUGUGCUUGAGUGUGGGAGAGGCGCGUGGAAUUGCAGGUGUAGCGGUGAAAUGCGUAGAUAUCUGCAGGAACACCCGUGGCGAAAGCGGCGCGCUGGGCCACUACUGACGCUGAGGAACGAAAGCUAGGGGAGCAAACAGG
rnacentral:rRNA from 1 species